rnacentral:lncRNA from 1 species
CAGAAAGGAACCAAGCAUAUAGUUGCUUAGGAGACAAAAAAGGAAGAGGCAGGUCUGAAGCCAAAGGCAGAUGAAAGAAAAGGCAAAGAAGGAAACAACGGAACACUUCAUUGUUGCUCCUUGAGAUGGUCUUUGGGGUAGCAGGGUAAGAAGAAACAGAGAAUCUGAGAGGACAAGAACUCACCUAAGGGCAGACACAUCUGAAGAAGUGGACUGAAUCUAAAACAGGAUCAGAGCUCUGCCAGCACUUAAGCUGACAUCAAGAAGGGCUGACUGAGAAGACAGAAAGAACUUGGAGUCGUUUUUGUCACUCUUGGAUCAGCCUUCAGGUAUGGACUGAAGCUGGUGAUUUGCCUUCCAAUGAAAAGAGAGAAUAGAAAUGGGGAAGUCAUAACUGCACAGGAGAGAAAUUGGCCUGACUCUUUAUGGACUAAUGAGAGUUACCAUCUUCAUCAUAAGUCACGUCAAGUGACUUAUCAUGGAGGAGUAUUCCCUGUGCCUUUAUAUGUUUCUUGUCAAAAAUUGCAAAGUUCUAAAUUAAUCAUGGAAAAAUUCUUAGAAAAAACCAAAUUGAAGUAUAUUCUACAAAACAUCUGCCCACUGCUCUUCAUGGAUCAAGGCCAUAACCAUAACAACAGAAAUAUGAAUAAAGUCUUCAAGAUCAGAGCAGAUUAACAAG